rnacentral:tRNA from 1 species
GCCGGGAUGGCGGAAUCGGUAGACGCAGCGGAUUCAAAAUCCGCCGCCGCAAGGCGUGAGGGUUCGAGUCCCUCUUCCGGCACCA